GCCCAGAAACUGGCACAAGAAGCAAGGGAAAGUUCCCACUUUCACAUAGAAAAUCAUAGAGGUUAGGGUCACAAGUCAAUGGGUUAAAGGGAGGGAACAGGUAAAAGGUAAAGAAAAAUCAACACUGUGGAACAAUACAUUUAGGAC